CCGUGUUUAAACUCCGGUCCGGACGCCCCAUCGGCAGUUAAGCGGGGUGCGUCGACUACCCCACACAUCAGUCGAGAGGCAGCAGCGCACUGAACAAAAACACAUCUAUUCUCUAAUAGGAAAGUUUUCACUUUUCUUCUACAAGUAUCGGUCGCGAUGCAGAGUCGGGUGGUGACGCUCCUGCUGGUGACAGGAUCCGCAGUCUGUAUCCUCGCGCGGCCUCAGUUCGGACAGUUCGGAGGAUAUCGGCGAGGGAGCUCCGGAGCAGGAUACGGAGGAGCUAGUGUCGGUUCAUUCGCUGGAGAUGGAUAUGGAUUUGGCUACGGUAGCUCUAGGGACGGUGGAUAUGGCUAUGGCUACGGUGUUUCAACGUCGAACAAGCCAGGGGUUGGUGGUGGGUUUGGCUACGGGAGAUUUAAGCGGAACCCACAAGAAGGACCGUCAACAUCUAACAAACCCGGCUCUGGCUCCCAUGGAUCGACAUCAAACAAACCCGGUUUUGGCUCAGGUGAUUCGACAUCAAACAAACCCGGUUUUGGCUCAGGUGAUUCGACAUCAAACAAACCCGGUUUUGGCUCAGGUGAUUCGACAUCAAACAAACCCGGUUUUGGCUCAGGCGAUUCCACAUCAAACAAACCCGGUUUUGGCUCAGGCGAUUCCACAUCAAACAAACCCGGUUUUGGCUCAGGUGAUUCGACGUCAAACAAACCCGGUUUUGGCUCAGGUGAUUCGACGUCAAACAAACCCGGUUUUGGCUCAGGUGAUUCGACAUCAAACAAACCCGGUUUUGGCUCAGGUGAUUCGACAUCAAACAAACCCGGUUUUGGCUCAGGUGAUUCGACAUCAAACAAACCCGGCAGUGAUUUGGAUAUUUCAACAUCAAACAAACCCGACUCUGGCUUCAGUGGAUCCACGUCUAACAAGCCUGGGUCUGAUUCAAGCAUUUCUUCAUCGAAUAAGCCUGACUCUGGCUCUGGUGUCUCACUGUCUAACAAACCCGGCCAUAAUUCAGACUCCAAAUCUGGAUUUUGUGAUAUCUGCAGCGGUGGCUCGGGAGGAGUCCAAGUGGGGGGCAGUGGAGGAGCCACAGGGGGAGCUGGUGAUGGGGGCUCUUGGGGAGGACAAUUUGGAGGCAGUGGAGGAGCCACAGGGGGAGCUGGUGAUGGGGGCUCAUCGGGAGGACAAGUAGGGGGCAGUGGAGGAGCCACAGGGGGAGCUGGUGAUGGGGGUUCAUCGGGAGGACAAGUAGGGGGCAGUGGAGGGGCCACAGGAGGUGCUGGCGGUGGUAGCUCAGGAGGAUCUUGGUCAGGGAGUGGUUCUUGGGCCGGUUCAGGCAGCGGUUCCUGGAGCGGCUCAGCUGGAGGGUCCUGGGGCGGCAGUGGGGGAGCAGGAGGAGGAGGAGGUGGAGCGGUAGAGACGACUACGACGACCUCUCGCCCCACCAUUCCGUCGGUCACGCCCGUGUUGAUUUAAGCGUCCUCGCUGACCAAACACCAACGCGAGAACCUCCCGCUGUUCCCAAGACGGCGUCUCGGGUGCUUCAGUGGAGUUGCUUUGUUUAUUUAUGCCAUUUUGUAUUCAGAUGUGUAUUUAAUUUGUUUGUUUUCCUUAAUUAUGUAUUGACAUGUUUUGUACUUUCAAGCUGAUUUUAUCUUGAUUUGUUUUUUGUUUUUUUUUUAUUGGAAAUGUAAAAUCCCUUGUAAGGCUGAACAUGACUCGUGGUUGAGUUGGGAAAUAUUUACAAUAAACACUUCGCGAAAUCAGU
rnacentral:misc_RNA from 1 species